CAUGUGUCACGUAGUGAAACACGAUGCGAAAUCACGUACGUUUGCGCCACAACUCUUAUGUGUCAAGGGAGGAUUCCGAGGAAUAUACACUCAUCGAACUCUUUAGAUGCAAUGGGCGGCGAUGCUGGAAGUCCCGUACCAGAGAGGGGCCCAGGGGGUCCUGGGCUGGGACCCAAAAGCACUCUUCUGGGCAGUAACCCUCCCAGUCCACAAAGUACUGCAGAGCCCCGUGGAGCCAGCGGGAGUCAAGGAGCCGGAGGACUGUGUAGGCUGGCUGACCAUCACUGAUGCGUGGGGCGGGUGGAGGCCUUAUGACGGGUUGUCAAGGCGCUGGUCACCACUGGUAACCGCUGGUGACCGUUGCAAGUGGGGCUAAUAAAUGUUCCUAAUAAAGUUCUAGACAGUAAGUGACACCGGGUAGGAUUCUGGCCCGAAGUCGUUACCGGCACAGAUCGGGUCUGGAUCCAGGAAGGCAACAAUAUGG